GGGUAUGUAGCUCAGUGGUAGGGCACUGUGCCUAGCAUGCACAAGGUCCUGGGCUCAAUCCCCAGUAUGUCCA
rnacentral:tRNA from 1 species